rnacentral:lncRNA from 1 species
AGGAUUUUCUAGAUAUUUUUUCAGUAAUUUUUGAAAAUUUUUUGAAAAAGUGAUAUUUACAUGAUACAUUUGUUUAUAAAAUUGUUAUAAACAGGGAUUACUUGCAAGAUGUAUUCACUUAUGUUAGUUCUUGUGUUCCUGAUGACUGGUGGUGGUGGCGGUGUUAAACGCCGAAAGUCUGUGUCGAGCAAAGGAAAGAAUGUUGUGGAUGACGAAGGCAGUGAAUAUCAGGCAUCUGAACAUUCUGAAA